AGUGAACGCUGGCGGUAGGCCUAACACAUGCAAGUCGAACGGCAGCACAGUAAGAGCUUGCUCUUACGGGUGGCGAGUGGCGGACGGGUGAGGAAUACCUCGGAAUCUACUUUUUCGUGGGGGAUAACGUAGGGAAACUUACGCUAAUACCGCAUACGACCUACGGGUGAAAGCAGGGGAUCUUCGGACCUUGCGCGAUUGAAUGAGCCGAUGUCGGUUUAGCUAGUUGGCGGGGUAAAGGCCCACCAAGGCGACGAUCCGUAGCUGGUCUGAGAGGAUGAUCAGCCACACUGGAACUGAGACACGGUCCAGACUCCUACGGGAGGCAGCAGUGGGGAAUAUUGGACAAUGGGCGCAAGCCUGAUCCAGCCAUACCGCGUGGGUGAAGAAGGCCUUCGGGUUGUAAAGCCCUUUUGUUGGGAAAGAAAAGCAGCAGGUUAAUACCCCGCUGUUCUGACGGUACCCAAAGAAUAAGCACCGGCUAACUUCGU
rnacentral:rRNA from 1 species